rnacentral:rRNA from 1 species
GUGGGGAAUAUUGGACAAUGGGCGAAAGCCUGAUCCAGCCAUGCCGCGUGUGUGAAGAAGGUCUUCGGAUUGUAAAGCACUUUAAGUUGGGAGGAAGGGCAGUAAGUUAAUACCUUGCUGUUUUGACGUUACCGACAGAAUAAGCACCGGCUAACUUCGUGCCAGCAGCCGCGGUAAUACGAAGGGUGCAAGCGUUAAUCGGAAUUACUGGGCGUAAAGCGCGCUUCGGUGGUUGUGUAAGUUGGAGGUGAAAUCCCCGGGCUCAACCUGGGAACUGCCUCCAAAACUGCAUGACUAGAGUACGGUAGAGGGUAGUGGAAUUUCCUGUGUAGCGGUGAAAUGCGUAGAUAUAGGAAGGAACACCAGUGGCGAAGGCGACUACCUGGACUGAUACUGACACUGAGGUGCGAAAGCGUGGGGAGCAAACAGGAUUAGAAACCCUUGUAGUCC